rnacentral:rRNA from 1 species
AUACGUAGGUGGCAAGCGUUAUCCGGAAUUACUGGGUGUAAAGGGCGAGUAGGCGGGACUGCAAGUCAGUAGUGAAAUGCGGAGGCUCAACCUCCGAGCUGCUAUUGAAACUGCGGUUCUUGAGUGAUGGAGAGGCAGGCGGAAUUCCCGGUGUAGCGGUGAAAUGCGUAGAGAUCGGGAGGAACACCAGUGGCGAAGGCGGCCUGCUGGACAUUAACUGACGCUGAGGCGCGAAAGCGUGGGGAGCAAACAGGAUUAGAUACCCUGGUAGUCCUGGCCGUAAACGAUGAAUGCUAGGUGUGUGUGUAGAGAUACAUGCGUGCCGGAGUUAACGCGAUAAGCAUUCCGCCUGGGGAGUACGGUCGCAAGAUUGAAACUCAAAUGAAUUGACGGGG